rnacentral:rRNA from 1 species
CGCCAGACUCCUACGGGAGGCAGCAGUGGGGAAUAUUGCACAAUGGGGGAAACCCUGAUGCAGCGACGCCGCGUGAGCGAUGAAGUAUUUCGGUAUGUAAAGCUCUAUCAGCAGGGAAGAAAAUGACGGUACCUGACUAAGAAGCCCCGGCUAACUACGUGCCAGCAGCCGCGGUAAUACGUAGGGGGCAAGCGUUAUCCGGAUUUACUGGGUGUAAAGGGAGCGUAGACGGCAAUGCAAGCCAGAUGUGAAAGCCCGGGGCUCAACCCCGGGACUGCAUUUGGAACUGUGUAGCUGGAGUGUCGGAGAGGCAGGCGGAAUUCCUAGUGUAGCGGUGAAAUGCGUAGAUAUUAGGAGGAACACCAGUGGCGAAGGCGGCCUGCUGGACGAUGACUGACGUUGAGGCCCGAAAGCGUGGGGAGCAAACAGGAUUAGAUACCCGAGUAAC